UACGUAGGGUGCGAGCGUUGUCCGGAAUUAUUGGGCGUAAAGAGCGCGCAGGCGGUCGUUCAAGUCGAGUGUGAAAGCCCCCGGCUCAACUGGGGAGGGUCACGCGAUACUGAUCGACUCGAAGGCAGGAGAGGGUAGUGGAAUUCCCGGUGUAGUGGUGAAAUGCGUAGAUAUCGGGAGGAACACCGGUGGCGAAGGCGGCGACCUGGGUAGAUACUGACGCUGAGGCGCGAAAGCGUGGGGAGCAAACAGG
rnacentral:rRNA from 1 species